AACGCACAUUGCGCCCCUUGGUAUUCCGAGGGGCAUGCCUGUUUGAUCGUCAUUAAGCACUUCGGGCCCAAGGCUUGGUGUUGGGUGAGCCUCGACCAAUAUGCCCAUCACAGGGUGGUCUUGAAGGCGACCCCCAAAACACAUGUUGAUUACAGACCGAUGGACGGGUGGUAAGACAUACUCAUCUCCGUGUCAAUGGUAUAACUGUAUUCAAGCAAACAAGGGACUGUGCAAACAGACCUCUUCUAUCUUGACAUCAAAUCAGGUAGGGAUACCCGCUGAACUUAA
rnacentral:misc_RNA from 1 species